rnacentral:rRNA from 1 species
ACUGCGAAUGGCUCAUUAUAUAAGUUAUCGUUUAUUUGAUAGUACCUUACUACUUGGAUAACCGUGGUAAUUCUAGAGCUAAUACAUGCUAAAAAUCCCGACUUCGGAAGGGAUGUAUUUAUUAGAUUAAAAACCAAUGCCCUCUGGGCUCUCUGGUGAUUCAUGAUAACUUCUCGAAUCGCAUGGCCUUGCGCCGGCGAUGGUUCAUUCAAAUUUCUUCCCUAUCAACUUUCGAUGUUUGGGUAUUGGCCAAACAUGGUCGCAACGGGUAACGGAGGGUUAGGGCUCGACCCCGGAGAAGGAGCCUGAGAAACGGCUACUACAUCCAAGGAAGGCAGCAGGCGCGCAAAUUACCCAAUCCCGACACGGGGAGGUAGUGACAAUAAAUACUGAUACAGGGCUCUUUCGGGUCUUGUAAUUGGAAUGAGUACAAUUUAAAUCCCUUAACGAGGAACAAUUGGAGGGCAAGUCUGGUGCCAGCAGCCGCGGUAAUUCCAGCUCCAAUAGCGUAUAUUAAAGUUGUUGUGGUUAAAAAGCUCGUAGUUGAACCUUGGGCCUGGCUGGCCGGUCCGCCUCACCGCGUGUACUGGUCCGGCCGGGCCUUUCCCUCUGUGGAACCUCAUGCCCUUCACUGGGCGUGACGGGGAAACAGGACUUUUACUGUGAAAAAAUUAGAGUGCUCCAGGCAGGCCUAUGCUCGAAUACAUUAGCAUGGAAUAAUGAAAUAGGACGUGCGGUUCUAUUUUGUUGGUUUCUAGGACCGCCGUAAUGAUUAAUAGGGACAGUCGGGGGCAUCAGUAUUCAAUUGUCAGAGGUGAAAUUCUUGGAUUUAUUGAAGACUAACUACUGCGAAAGCAUUUGCCAAGGAUGUUUUCAUUAAUCAGGAACGAAAGUUAGGGGAUCGAAGACGAUCAGAUACCGUCGUAGUCUUAACCAUAAACUAUGCCGACUAGGGAUCGGACGAUGUAAAUAAUUGACUCGUUCGGCACCUUACGAGAAAUCAAAGUGUUUGGGCUCCAGGGGGAGUAUGGUCGCAAGGCUGAAACUUAAA